GAUGAAGAACGCAGUGAAAUGCGAUAACUAAUGUGAAUUGCAGAAUUCAGUGAAUCAUCGAGUCUUUGAACGCACAUUGCGCCCCCUGGUAUUCCGGGGGGCAUGCCUGUCCGAGCGUCAUUGCUGCCCUCAAGCACGGCUUGUGUGUUGGGCUCCGUCCCCCCGGGGACGGGCCCGAAAGGCAGCGGCGGCACCGAGUCCGGUCCUCGAGCGUAUGGGGCUUUGUCACCCGCUCUGUAGGCCCGGCCGGCGCCAGCCGACAACCCAUCAUCCUUUUCAGGUUGACCUCGGAUCAGGUAGGGAUACCCGCUGAACUUAAGCAUAUCAAUAAGCGGAGGA
rnacentral:misc_RNA from 1 species